rnacentral:rRNA from 1 species
UCGGGGUACUCGAGUGGCGAACGGGUGAGUAACACGUGGGUGAUCUGCCCUGCACUUUGGGAUAAGCCUGGGAAACUGGGUCUAAUACCGAAUAGGACCACGCGCUUCAUGGUGUGUGGUGGAAAGCUUUUGCGGUGUGGGAUGGGCCCGCGGCCUAUCCGAGCUUGUUGGUGGGGUAAUGGCCUACCAAGGCGACGACGGGUAGCCGGCCUGAGAGGGUGACCGGCCACACUGGGACUGAGAUACGGCCCANACUCCUACGGGAGGCAGCAGUGGGGAAUAUUGCACAAUGGGCGCAAGCCUGAUGCAGCGACGCCGCGUGAGGGAUGACGGCCUUCGGGUUGUAAACCUCUUUCAAUAGGGACGAAGCGCAAGUGACGGUACCUAUAGAAGAAGCACCGGCCAACUACGUGCCAGCAGCCGCGGUAAUACGUAGGGUGCGAGCGUUGUCCGGAAUUACUGGGCGUAAAGAGCUCGUAGGUGGUUUGUCGCGUUGUUCGUGAAAACUCACAGCUUAACUGUGGGCGUGCGGGCGAUACGGGCAGACUAGAGUACUGCAGGGGAGACUGGAAUUCCUGGUGUAGCGGUGGAAUGCGCAGAUAUCAGGAGGAACACCGGUGGCGAAGGCGGGUCUCUGGGCAGUAACUGACGCUGAGGAGCGAAAGCGUGGGGAGCGAACAGGAUUAGAUACCCUGGUAGUCCACGCCGUAAACGGUGGGUACUAGGUGUGGGUUCCUUCCUUGGGAUCCGUGCCGUAGCUAACGCAUUAAGUACCCCGCCUGGGGAGUACGGCCGCAAGGCUAAAACUCAAAGGAAUUGACGGGGGGCCCGCACAAGCGGCGGAGCAUGUGGAUUAAUUCGAUGCAACGCGAAGAACCUUACCUGGGUUUGACAUGCACAGGACGCCGGCAGAGAUGUCGGUUCCCUUGUGGCCUGUGUGCAGGUGGUGCAUGGCUGUCGUCAGCUCGUGUCGUGAGAUGUUGGGUUAAGUCCCGCAACGAGCGCAACCCUUGUCCUAUGUUGCCAGCGGGUUAUGCCGGGGACUCGUAGGAGACUGCCGGGGUCAACUCGGAGGAAGGUGGGGAUCNGACGUCAAGUCAUCAUGCCCCUUAUGUCCAGGGCUUCACACAUGCUACAAUGGCCGGUACAAAGGGCUGCGAUGCCGUGAGGUGGAGCGAAUCCUUUCAAAGCCGGUCUCAGUUCGGAUCGGGGUCUGCAACUCGACCCCGUGAAGUCGGAGUCGCUAGUAAUCGCAGAUCAGCAACGCUGCGGUGAAUACGUUCCCGGGCCUUGNNCACACCGCCCGUCAGGUCAUGAAAGUCGGUAACACCCGAAGCC